UUNUGAACUGGGUGACUAGAGUGUGUCAGAGGGAGGUAGAAUUCCACGUGUAGCAGUGAAAUGCGUAGAGAUGUGGAGGAAUACCGAUGGCGAAGGCAGCCUCCUGGGAUAACACUGACGUUCAUGCCCGAAAGCGUGGGUAGCAAACAGGAUUAGAUACCCUGGUAGUCCACGCCCUAAACGAUGUCGAUUAGCUGUUGGGCAGCAUGACUGCUUAGUAGCGAAGCUAACGCGUGAAAUCGACCGCCUGGGGAGUACGGUCGCAAGAUUAAAACUCAAAGGAAUUGACGGGGACCCGCACAAGCGGUGGAUGAUGUGGAUUAAUUCGAUGCAACGCGAAGAACCUUACCUGGUCUUGACAUGUACGGAACCCUCCAGAGACGGAGGAGUGCCUUCGGGAGCCGUAACACAGGUGCUGCAUGGCUGUCGUCAGCUCGUGUCGUGAGAUGUUGGGUUAAGUCCCGCAACGAGCGCAACCCUUGUCAUUAGUUGCCAUCAUUAAGUUGGGCACUCUAAUGAGACUGCCGGUGACAAGCCGGAGGAAGGUGGGGAUGACGUCAAGUCCUCAUGGCCCUUAUGACCAGGGCUUCACACGUCAUACAAUGGUCGGUACAGAGGGUAGCCAAGCCGCGAGGCGGAGCCAAUCUCACAAAACUGAUCGUAGUCCGGAUUGCACUCUGCAACUCGAGUGCAUGAAGUCGGAAUCGCUAGUAAUCGCAGGUCAGCAUACUGCGGUGAAUACGUUCCCGGGUCUUGUACACACCGCCCGUCACACCAUGGGAGUGGGGGAUACCAGAAGUAGGUAGGGUAACCGCAAGGAGC
rnacentral:rRNA from 1 species